CAAGCCUACUGGCUGGGACGGCCUUAUUUCCUAAACCAGGCUUGGAAGCUAUACACCAAUUCAUCAAUAUAGUGUUCAUUCAGUCAUUCUAGAACUAUUUUCAAGGGCUUAACUAUUUGCUAGGCAUGUUCUAGAUGUAGGGUUGGAGAGAACAAGACAACCCCUGUUCUGGUGGAACAUUCUGUUGUGGUGGAGGGGUGAUAGACAAUAAAAUAAGUACGCAAAUAAAUGAAUAAGAUAAUUUAAGGUAAGUGCAGUGAAGGCCAUGAGACAGGGUAAUGUGGUUGGAGUCAGGCUGCCUGGGACAAUUCUAUAACUUACAAAGCAUGAGCAAGUGGUAUAACUUUUGAAGAUCUCAGUUUCCUCAUCUGUAAAAUGGAGGAAUCAUGCCUACAUCAACAGAUUAUUUGUUUUAUAUAAACCCUAGGGCAUUCUAAUAGUUGGAGAUCAAGCAAAGGAAAAAGAGCCAGUAGAAAAGACUAGAAAGCGAAAGUUGGUUUACCAGACCUCUAGAGAAGAACAUGUUACAUGGAGUGUGUGUUCCUCUGUGUCAAAGUUGCCAAGAGCUCAAUGCACAUGACGGAGGUAUGAUGACUGGGUUUUGGCAAGGCGGAGUGACCUCAACAAGAGCAGUUUCAGUAGAGGGGUGGGAAAGAUGUCUGAUUAGCAUGGGUUGAGACAAGACUGUGAGAUGAAGAAAUGGAGACAGCAAUUAUAGAAUACUUAAGUUUGGGGUAAUGGAAAGUUGAAAAAUGCAGCAGCAGUUGGAAAGGAAGCUGGGGUCAAGGGAGGGUUUUUUAUGCAUAGGGUAUUAUGGCAUCUCAGUAUUUUUUGAGGGGAGUGAUCCACUGGAGAGAGAUUAAGUGAUCUAGAGGAAAGAAGAGAUAAUUUCCAGGAGAUUGACAUAUGAAACACUUGAAAAGAUAAAAGGGGAUGGGAUCCAGAGCCCAAGUGUAGAGGUUGGCCUUUCCUAGGUACAGGGAUGCUUCAUCCUGCAUAUAUAAAUGAAGGUAGGUUGGUAGACUCACCUAGGUGGGAAGAUGUGGGAAUUCGUGUCCUAUUACUUCUGUUUUCACUAUGAGGCAACGGUAUUAACUGAGAAUUAGGUGAUGGUAGUGGGAGGAAGUAAAUUACGUAGAUUAGUAAAUUCAGAUAUUUGAGGAGAAAGGAAAGGAUAUGACAUGUUGAAGAAGGGAAGACUAGGGAAAUGUAGAGGCUAGCUAGUCGUGCUGAGAUUAGUGGGGAAGAAUUUAAGAGACCUGUUAGCAUGUGUAUCAGUCAGGACAAAGUAAGCUUUUCCUGCAGCAAUAAAUGACUCCUACAUCUGAGUGACUGGACUUAAAAACGAUCUAUUUCUGACUGGGUGUGGUGGCUCACACCUAUAAUCCCAGCAUUUUGGGAGGCCAGGUGAGAGGAUCACUUGAGACCAGGAAUUCAAGACCAGCCUGGACCACGUAACGAGACCCUGUCUUUACAUUUAAAAGAAAGAUAUAUUUCUUGUUCGUGUAGCAUGUCCAAAAUAAGUUGGCGAGGGUCUCUCAUCUUCUUAGUCUCUCAGGAACCCAGGUGUCAAGGAUCAUAAAGGGGUUGAGAUUUUACCCUACUUGUAAUCUCACAAGUUAGCCCCAAUUCCCACAGGGAGAUAUAAAGAUGCCAAAUGACACCUGCACACACAGUGGGUUGUGUUACAGAAAAAUCCUGCGCUUAGGGAACCCAAAUCUUUUGUAAUAGUCAGUAAGCAUGCCUUACCAUUGCUUUCUUCCAAGGCUGCAAGCAAACCUGCCCUUUGCUCCAGAGGAAGAUAUUAUCUCUGUCUGUCAAGGCUUUUCACUAUACAAACAUCCUUGAAAAGGUAGUAAAGAGCAAAGCCAGUCAGUGCUUUUGCUUGUAAGAUGUGCAGAAAUGUGAGAGACCCAGGGAGAAUUGUGUCCCAAUACCAAGUUGAUGGAGGUACCACCAUCUUGUAACCCCUUCAUUUAAACACAUGGCUUCCAGUGUUGAUAAGGCAGGGAAAAGAGACCUAGAGGGUGACACAGGCUUUUCACUGACUCAGCCCCAAAGUGACAUGCCAUCACUUGUGCUUUCAGUCCAUUGGAUACACCUCAACUAUCCAGGCUGGGUUAUGGGCUUACACAUGUGACCAGGUAGAAGAGAAGAAGCAGAUAUUGAUGAACACUAGCAAUGUCUACUACAGUAUGGCUGUGUGUUUUUCUCCAGUACCAUUUAGCUGUUCAGGUACAGAAACAAAGCAAGUAGCAGUUGGAUUUAAUCUCAGAAUUAGGAUUCUGACCAACUAGUCUAAUGGAGGAAAAGAAUGGUGAGGGAGGUAAGUGUUUGCAUAGAAGUGAUUUCAUAGGUGGACCAUGUGCUAUGGUCUGAAUGUGCAAAAUAAAUUUCUGUUUUUUUAAAAUUACUUAGUGUCAGGUAUUUUGUUAUGGCAGCAAAAACAGACUGGCACCAUGGAAUCUAAACAUGGUAAGGAGGGAAGUAAGGACAUAGAGAUGAAGAAUAUGAAAAAGGGCUAGAACUGUGGACUGGAGGACUUCAUAAGGUUGCAGAAUUUCUGGACUUGGAGAACUAGAGCAGCUGAGCUGAAUGGAUGAGAAGUUGUGGUCAAAGAAUAGGAUUCUGGAAGUCAAGAUUUCAGAGGUAGUGCAGUUUGAGGGAUGAUUAGUUCAGGAAUGUGUCUCUGAAAUUUGAUGGCUAAGGUCAGAUCUGGGGAAGAUUAUUAGAGGUGACAGAGUCAGGGAACUAAGAGGCCAAGGUGUUGGAUUAAUCAUCUGUGAGGAGGUUGAAGUCACCUAGAAUGGUGACAAGAGUAGGGGUAGGAACGAAGAGAAGGAUCCAGGUAAUAGAAAGAAUGAACAUGUGAAUCUGCAUGAGUCUACUCAGGCUGCCACGACAAAGUACAGCAGACUGGAUGGCUCAAACCACAGACAAUUAUUUUCUCACAGUUCUGGAGGCUACAAGUCCAACAUCAAGAUGUUGGAAAAGUUCAAUUCUUCUUAGGCCUCUCUCCUUGGCUUAUAGAUGGCCACCUUCUCCCUGCCUUCACCUGGUCUUCCCUGUGUGUGUGUGUGUGUGUGUGUGUGUGUGUGUGUCCUAAUCUCUCUUCUUAUAGGGACACCAAUCAUUAUCAGAUUGGAGCCCAUUUAUAUGACCUCAUUUUACCUUAAUUACCUCUUUAAAGGCCCUAUCUCCAAAUAUAGUCAACAUUCUGAGGUACUUGGGGUUAGGACUUCAACAUAGGAAUUUUGGAGGGACACAAUUCAGCCCAUAACAAUAUUUCCCAAGAAGAUACUCCUUGGUUGGUCCUUGAUUGGACUUGGCAGUAUCCUGAAAGGUCUUUGCUUCGGCAAAAACUUGGGGAACAUUGAAUGUUAUGAUGGUACCAUUUAAAAAACAAGGAAACCCUUAGGAAACUAAUCCACAACACAUCUACAGAAACCUCUCUUACGGUCCUUUCUGUUUGGAGAUGGUAUGUUAUUGACUCCUACUUAACCUCAAUUCUGGUCUUACCCCUUAUGUUGGGCUGUCCUCUGAGAGCCCUCUACUCCCCUACAUAACAAAAAACUCAAUAAACCCUGGAAUCUUCUCUGUGAUAGUUAAUAAAGCCUACCAUAUGAAUGUGUAUAUGUGUGUGAAAUGUGAUGUUUAUAGUAGAUGUCAAUCUACUUCUAUGUGUUUUUAUAUAAAUGAGAAUAAAACAUUUUAAUCCCCUUUAACUUUGUGUCUGUAUGUAUGAUGGGCUGCAUUUUGAAAUCUUCAUGCAGGCCUGGCCUCGGUAUAGAGUUCUGAAGACAACAGUUUUAUCUCUGUAAGCUGUAGGAGCAUUUGGACUCCUCCCUGCCUAAUCUUGUACAAGGUUUUUUACAAACAAUGCCCCCUGGGAAGUCUAUGGCCGCCUUCUGACCUUCUAAGCCAGAUACCAGGUUACUGACUUCAGGGUGGUCCUCAUGAAUAAUGUUUUGUUUGGGGCCAGGAACAUUUUUAAGGAUGUGAAAGCGCUUGCAGCAUGAGGAGAAAAUGAAAUCUUGAUACUACAGUUUUGUAAGAUAUUGAAGCGAAGUUCCCAUGUCUUAAAUAAAACAGCAAAAUGUGAAAGACUCAAAGCUGUUGUUACAAGGUUUGCCCUAUGAAAUAUGCUUUCUCUUUGGCC
rnacentral:lncRNA from 1 species